rnacentral:rRNA from 1 species
GAUGAACGCUAGCGGCAGGCUUAACACAUGCAAGUCGAGGGGUAUAGUUCUUCGGAAUUAGAGACCGGCGCACGGGUGCGUAACGCGUAUGCAAUCUACCUUCCACAAAGGGAUAGCCCAGAGAAAUUUGGAUUAAUACCUUAUAGUAAUACGACUUGGCAUCAAGAUGUAUUACUAUAAGGUAUAUAUCAUUCGCAUGUUUGGUAUAUUAAAGUUCCAACGGUAAAGAUGGGCAUGCGUCCUAUUAGCUAGAUGGUAAGGUAACGGCUUACCAUGGCAACGAUAGGUAGGGGUCCUGAGAGGGAGAUCCCCCACACUGGUACUGAGACACGGACCAGACUCGUGAUGCU